rnacentral:sRNA from 1 species
GCCAGGUGUGGUGGCGCACUCCUGUAAUCCCAGCAGUCUGGGAGGCCAAGACAGGAGGAUUGCGAGUUCAAAGUCAGCCUCAGCAACAGGGAGGCCCUAAGCAACUCAGUGAGACCCUGUCUCUA